rnacentral:rRNA from 1 species
GUUGAACGCUGGCGGCAGGCCUAACACAUGCAAGUCGAACGAGUGGCGGACGGGUGAGUAAUGUCUGGGAAACUGCCUGAUGGAGGGGGAUAACUACUGAAAACGGUAGCUAAUACCGCAUACCAUCGGAUGUGCCCAGAUGGGAGUAGCUAUUAGUGGGGGUAAAGGCUCACCUAGGCGACGGCCCCUAGCUGGUCUGAGAGGUUGACCAGCAACACUGGAACUGAGACACGGUCCAGAUUCCUACGGGAGGCAGCAGUGGGGAAUAUUGCAAAAGGGGUGCAAGCCUGAUGCAGACAUGCCGCGUGGAUGAAGAAGGCCUUCGGGUUGUAAAGUACUUUCAGCGGGGAGGCGGUACCCGCAGAAGAAGCACCGGCUAACUCCGUGCCAGCAGCCGCGGUAAUAC